rnacentral:lncRNA from 1 species
GCAAGCACUUAAUUCUGCUAUUGAUUCUUUGACUUGCAAGGAGGUCUUCAAUUACAAGUCAUGGAGAUUCUUUGGGCUUUGGGGCAUGCACUUGUUACAAAGUGGCCACAUGAGCCUGAAUUUCCAGGCAUUUCUGCUCUCUAGGGUUGGGUCAAUUCAUCCUUCCACUCUAACUUAGACGGGGAAUCUUCUAGCAUUGGUGAUAUGGGACGCCUUAGAAGCAUCUUUCCAAGGCAGUAACUGGAAUCUAGUGAAGUAUGUCUUCAGGUACUUGGGAUCUCGUUUGCCCCCGGGUUCUCUGGGCUCUGAGAAGCUUGGGGUAUUCAGGCAAGCAAACUGGGAUCUGAUCUUGGCCUGCCAUAUGGGGGAAUAAACUGUGGUGGAGUCACAGGACUGUGCAUGCCAGCAAUGUCCCCAAUGAUUCCACCACAAUCUCCAUGCAUUGAGUUGAAAGGAGAUUUUACAUCUUUCCGCAGGGCCUGCAAGACGGAGCUGUUCCACCAGGCCUUUGGUCCGGGCUCAGUCUGACCCCCUUCUUUCCAUGAAACCCUGUAUGUAAGUGGCCCUCUUGGCCCUUUCUAUUAGCCCAUAUGGGACCAGCACGGGUGACCGGAUCUGGCAAAUAUUUAAUAUUCCUACCUUCAUGGCUGUAAUUUGUGGGUUGGCCACUUAAUUUUAUUCUGAUUUUACUGUGAUUUUGAGCUGUAUUUUAAUCAAUUGUUUGAUUUUGUGUUUUUAAUGUAUUAUAUAUUUGGUGUUAGCCGCCCUGAGCCUGGCCUUGGCUGGGGAGCGCAGGGUAUAAAUAAAAUUCAUUAGUAGUAGUAGUAGUAGUAGUAGUAUUCAUACAAUCCUCUGAAGAGAACCCUGUGCAGACAGUGCUCUUUGCUGCUCUUAGUGUGUUCACCCAAAUGCUUGAAGAAUCUCCCUUCAGAAUUUCCUGUUCAACAUGGAAUGGCCAAGGUAGAAUCAGCAGGAAUGGGGAUGUUGACAAUGUGCCUCAGGUACAUAGUUUCAUGCCCCUUCCACACCUUAUUCCCUCACACAUACUUUGAGGGUCAUGACCCUGGCGCAUUCAUCAGUUAAUUACUUGAACUGCUUGUAACAAGAUGGAGAUGAUGACGGCAGAAUAAUAAUAAUAAUAAUAAUAAUAAUAAUAAUAAUAAUAAUAAUUUAUUAUUUAUACCCCAACCAUCUGGCUGGGUUACCCCAGCCACUCUGGGCGGCUUCCAACAAAAUAUUAAAAUACAGUAGUCCAUCAAACAUUAAAAGCUUCCCUAAACAGGGCUGCCUUCAGAUGUCUUCUAAAAGUCUGGUAGUUGUUGUUCUCUUUGACAUCUGGUGAGAGGGCAUUCCACAGGGUGGGUGCCACUACCGAGAAGGCCCUCUGCCUGGUUCCCUGUAACUUGGCUUCUCGCAGUGAGGGAGCUGCCAGAAGGCCCUCGGCGCUGGACCUCAGUGUCCGGGUAGAACAAUGGAGGUGGAGACGCUCCUUCAGGUAUACUGGACCAAGGCCGUUUAGGGCUUUAAUGGUCAGCACCAACACUUUGAAUUAAUUAAGCAAACCCUCCAGCUUUUAGUUAAGAUUUAUUGUUUUAAAUGAUUUUUUUAUUUUUUACAGCUUGGACUGAUUGCAGCGGUGCCUCUUCCCACC